rnacentral:rRNA from 1 species
AUGAACGCUGGCGGCGUGCCUAAUACAUGCAAGUCGAGCGAACGGACGAGAAGCUUGCUUCUCUGAUGUUAGCGGCGGACGGGUGAGUAACACGUGGAUAACCUACCUAUAAGACUGGGAUAACUUCGGGAAACCGGAGCUAAUACCGGAUGAUAUUUUGAACCGCAUGGUUCAAAAGUGAAAGACGGUCUUGCUGUCACUUAUAGAUGGAUCCGCGCUGCAUUAGCUAGUUGGUAAGGUAACGGCUUACCAAGGCAACGAUGCAUAGCCGACCUGAGAGGGUGAUCGGCCACACUGGAACUGAGACACGGUCCAGACUCCUACGGGAGGCAGCAGUAGGGAAUCUUCCGCAAUGGGCGAAAGCCUGACGGAGCAACGCCGCGUGAGUGAUGAAGGUCUUCGGAUCGUAAAACUCUGUUAUUAGGGAAGAACAUAUGUGUAAGGAACUGUGCACAUCGUGACGGUACCUAAUCAGAAAGCCACGGCUAACUACGUG